UCUUUUAGACAUUGGGUAGGGGAGCGUUCUGUAAGCCGUUGAAGGUGAAUCGUAAGGUUUGCUGGAGGUAUCAGAAGUGCGAAUGCUGACAUGAGUAACGACAAAGGGGGUGAAAAACCUCCUCGCCGGAAGACCAAGGGUUCCUGUCCAACGUUAAUCGGGGCAGGGUGAGUCGACCCCUAAGGUGAGGCCGAAAGGCGUAAUCGAUGGGAAACGGGUUAAUAUUCCCGUACUUCUGACUAUUGCGAUGGGGGGACGGAGAAGGCUAGGUGGGCCAGGCGACGGUUGUCCUGGUUCAAGUGCGUAGGCUUGAGAGUUAGGUAAAUCCGGCUCUCUCUAAGGCUGAGACACGACGUCGAGCUACUACGGUAGUGAAGUCAUUGAUGCCAUGCUUCCAGGAAAAGCCUCUAAGCUUCAGAUAGUCAGGAAUCGUACCCCAAACCGACACAGGUGGUCGGGUAGAGAAUACCAAGGCGCUUGAGAGAACUCGGGUGAAGGAACUAGGCAAAAUGGUACCGUAACUUCGGGAGAAGGUACGCUCUUGAUGGUGAAGUCCCUCGCGGAUGGAGCUGACGAGAGUCGCAGAUACCAGGUGGCUGCAACUGUUUAUUAAAAACACAGCACUGUGCAAAAUCGCAAGAUGACGUAUACGGUGUGACGCCUGCCCGGUGCCGGAAGGUUAAUUGAUGGGGUUAGCGCAAGCGAAGCUCUUGAUCGAAGCCCCGGUAAACGGCGGCCGUAACUAUAACGGUCCUAAGGUAGCGAAAUUCCUUGUCGGGUAAGUUCCGACCUGCACGAAUGGCGUAAUGAUGGCCACGCUGUCUCCACCCGAGACUCAGUGAAAUUGAAAUCGCUGUGAAGAUGCAGUGUACCCGCGGCUAGACGGAAAGACCCCGUGAACCUUUACUACAGCUUGGCACUGAACAUUGAACCUACAUGUGUAGGAUAGGUGGGAGGCUAUGAAGACGUGACGCCAGUUGCGUUGGAGCCGUCCUUGAAAUACCACCCUUGUAUGU
rnacentral:rRNA from 2 species